CGAUCUUCGUAAAUCCAAUGUACAGAUCUGAAAGAUCUUUAAAUUCUGGAACAGUACCGAACACCUCAGCUGAAACUCAACCGCGCACUUCGCUUUGGGGAAAACAACUGAACGUGAGCAAAUGUUGCCCAAACAGACUUCUUCAACUGAGCGGAAAUUGCAUAUGUCAUUCAGCGUAGAUUGAAUACCCUAAAGGAAUUAUGGAUAUAAUUAUUACUCAUAUUUUUCCUAAUAGCAGAAUGUUUUCUAUAAUUUCAGCUGAGUCUUAAAGUAAUUGAAAAAAUUAACGAACUCAUCCAAAGAGACCGACAAUGACAAUAAAGCCCAAUGCUCUAUAUCCGCCGUGCGCCCUCCUCUCACUCCCCUGUCCCAAUCCUCCAUCCGAUCCGAUCGUCUUGGAUAACCCCAUUCGCACCCCCGCGCUUGACCAACCGACUCCCAGUCGUAUUUGCUCUGGCCAUUCAGUCGUAUCGUCUUUUAUCGUUCACUUGAUUAGAGAAGGUCUCCCCGUUGUCGCCGAGUUUCAUAUUCUGCUGAUCGCAGCGGUAUUUGCUUAAUUAAAAUUUCUGUUCUUGCCGCGUAGCAUUGCGUGUAUUG